rnacentral:lncRNA from 1 species
GGCAGACACUGCGCUCUCGCGGCGGAGCACCCCUCUAGCUUCUUCUCCAGUACCGAGGCUCUCAAACUCUCCUCUUGCCUUAACCAAACUUGCUUUCCCGCCUCUCAAACUCCAGCUUCCCUCCACUCCCAGCUCUUUUCCCUCCACUUUCCACUCCUCUAUCUCCCACUCCACAAACCCCAAUCCCCACUCCUUUCUCCCGCCAUCCCCUUUCCUCUCCCUUCCCUUCAACUUCUCGUCAGUUUCCACUGACACCCGGUGCGCUCCCAAGUCAGUAGCCCGCUCCUGCUCCUCUGAAGCCAUGGCGGGACCGGGGGGCUGGAGGGACAAGGAGGUCACAGAUCUGG